ACUCCUACGGGAGGCAGCAGUGGGGAAUAUUGCACAAUGGGGGAAACCCUGAUGCAGCCAUGCCGCGUGUGUGAAGAAGGCCUUCGGGUUGUAAAGCACUUUCAGUAGGGAGGAAGGUAGUGUAGUUAACACCUGCAUUAUUUGACGUUACCUACAGAAGAAGCACCGGCUAACUCCGUGCCAGCAGCCGCGGUAAGUACGGAGGGUGCGAGCGUUAAUCGGAAUUACUGGGCGUAAAGCGCAUGCAGGCGGCCUGUUAAGUCAGAUGUGAAAGCCCGGGGUCUUAACCUCGGAAUUGCAUUUGAAACUGGCAGGCUAGAGUCUUGUAGAGGGGUUAGAAUUUCAGGUGUAGCGGUGAAAUGCGUAGAGAUCUGAAGGAAUACCGAGUGGCGAAGGCGGCCCCUGGACAAAGAC
rnacentral:rRNA from 1 species